rnacentral:rRNA from 1 species
UACGGAGGGUGCGAGCGUUGUCCGGAAUCAUUGGGCGUAAAGGGCGCGUAGGUGGCCCGGUCAGCGUGCGGUGAAAGCUCGGGGCUCAACCCCGAGUCGGCCGUGCGAACUGCUGGGCUCGAGCACUGUAGAGGCAGGCGGAAUUCCGGGUGUAGCGGUGGAAUGCGUAGAGAUCCGGAAGAACACCGGUGGCGAAGGCGGCCUGCUGGGCAGUGGCUGUCACUGAGGCGCGACAGCGUGGGGAGCAAACAGG